GAGGGUUUGAUCCUGGCUCAGGAUGAACGCUGGCGGCGUGCCUAAUACAUGCAAGUCGAGCGAACGGACGAGAAGCUUGCUUCUCUGAUGUUAGCGGCGGACGGGUGAGUAACACGUGGAUAACCUACCUAUAAGACUGGGAUAACUUCGGGAAACCGGAGCUAAUACCGGAUAAUAUUUUGAACCGCAUGGUUCAAAAGUGAAAGACGGUCUUGCUGUCACUUAUAGAUGGAUCCGCGCUGCAUUAGCUAGUUGGUAAGGUAACGGCUUACCAAGGCAACGAUGCAUAGCCGACCUGAGAGGGUGAUCGGCCACACUGGAACUGAGACACGGUCCAGACUCCUACGGGAGGCAGCAGUAGGGAAUCUUCCGCAAUGGGCGAAAGCCUGACGGAGCAACGCCGCGUGAGUGAUGAAGGUCUUCGGAUCGUAAAACUCUGUUAUUAGGGAAGAACAUAUGUGUAAGUAACUGUGCACAUCUUGACGGUACCUAAUCAGAAAGCCACGGCUAACUACGUGCCAGCAGCCGCGGUAAUACGUAGGUGGCAAGCGUUAUCCGGAAUUAUUGGGCGUAAAGCGCGCGUAGGCGGUUUUUUAAGUCUGAUGUGAAAGCCCACGGCUCAACCGUGGAGGGUCAUUGGAAACUGGAAAACUUGAGUGCAGAAGAGGAAAGUGGAAUUCCAUGUGUAGCGGUGAAAUGCGCAGAGAUAUGGAGGAACACCAGUGGCGAAGGCGACUUUCUGGUCUGUAACUGACGCUGAUGUGCGAAAGCGUGGGGAUCAAACAGGAUUAGAUACCCUGGUAGUCCACGCCGUAAACGAUGAGUGCUAAGUGUUAGGGGGGUUUCCGCCCC
rnacentral:rRNA from 1 species